AAUCAAUUAAACUAACAAAUAACAACACUCAGGGCUGUAAAAAUUCAAAAAACAAACAUCAUUAACUAUACAAGUUUUUGUAGUUACGCGUAAUUGAAUAACCCCCCCCCUAUAAACUGCAUCACUAUAGUAUAACAUAAUAGUUGCGAGCUGUUGACAAAACAAAUGUUUUACCUAAAAGAGUUGGUAUGUCUAUAUACUCUACUUUGUUGUAUCUGACUAUUUUAUAAAUGAUCAAAUAAUUCUCACGGCAGUUCUUGACAACUGCUGCAGCAGGAACACUAAACAUUUGCUACCGUUAAAAUAAUACGACUAUUCAUAGAGUUAAAUUCGUUCAUCUUACAAAAUUACAACAAAAUUGUACCUAUAUAAAAUAUUUAAAUUUUUUUAUGUAAUGGUACUUACUGGGCUACUUGAGUAUAAUCUUAUUUUCAAAAACCGAAUACGAAUUCAAAACAUUAUAAUCGUAUGUAUAUUAUAAAACCUACACAAAUUAAAUACUAUUUCCAUCUCUUUCGCGGUUAUUUAAUAGUAAUAAGAUGAAUUCAAUUUAUAAUU